rnacentral:rRNA from 1 species
UACGUAGGGUGCAAGCGUUAAUCGGAAUUACUGGGCGUAAAGCGUGCGCAGGCGGUUAUGUAAGACAGAUGUGAAAUGCCCGGGCUUAACCUGGGAACUGCAUUUGUGACUGCAUGGCUAGAGUUUGGCAGAGGGGGUAGAAUUCCACGUGUAGCAGUGAAAUGCGUAGAUAUGGUGGAGGAACACCGAUGGCGAAGGCAGCCCCCUGGGUCAAGACUGAGCUCAUGCACGAAAGCGUGGGAGCAA